UACAAAAAACAAAAGCAAACACACCGCAUGCAUGCGCGCAAUUGGCACACAAACGAACGUCAUUAAUAUCGCAGAUGCACGCGAUGCCACGCGUUCGGAAUGCGGUGCGGCAGCCGGUGUGAAUUGAAUUGACUUGAAUAACUAUGCAGUUGAAAAGCGCCAGCGCGGCAAUAGAAAUUAUAGAAAUCGGAUGGACAGACCUGCGUUGACGUUUAGCGGCCGACAGCGGCGUAAGUCGAAGGCGUGCGGAUCAACGCGCUUCAGUUCAGAGACAGUUGAGUUGAGCGUUGCACUAACGCCUUGUGCCUUGUUGUUGCGCUGGUCAAAUCAUUGUUGCCUCUUGUCUCGUACAUGUUGAUCUCUACGCUUGUGGUCUCGACGCGGUUCUUGUGAUCGUGCCGCGCCGAGUCAACGCGUCAGUCCACAAGUGUAAUCGGUGAUCAGUGGAAGAAGUCUGUUGGUUAUACAUAUGAAAUUGUGGCAUGGCAAAGGAGAAUGCGGCAUUUCCUGGUUUACAGCAAUUACAUAUUUCAAAGCGUGCGAAGCAAAGUGAUUGUCACUCAAUCGUGUUGACUCUGUGCGUUUCGCUCGCUGAUCGCUCUUCUAUUGAUCGUUGAGCGGGUUAGAGGUGCAGCAAUGCGUUGAUCGUGAGGCUUUCGUUUCUAAUUCGAUGUUGCAAUGCGAAAGCAAUCAGAAAAUUGCAAAAAUAACAAGAAAUGUUGAUGGCAGCUGGUUUGCUGUUAAACUUGUGUGCGGCACGUGCGUCAAACUGUAUGUAAUAGCGGUACUCCACACUUCAUGUGCCAUUUCGAGCGUUUGAUCGCUCUCGCAGAGACUUGUUCCUCACAAAUUGGAUGAUGCUAUAUAUUUAAAUGGGGGUUUGUCUAAGAGAUUGGGCCUCAUGCAUAAAAACGAGUAAAAGCGCUGAGUUGAGUCAAGUGAGCAAUUGCUCGUAAGUUGAGUUCGAUCAAACAGCAACAGCUCUUACUCAAUUUCGUAUGCAUAAAAAUGAGUUCAAACCAAUUACAAUUACUUGAGCAAACUGAGAUCAAACCUCUAAGCGCAAACAUGUCGUCAAGUGGAAGUGAAUUUGAAGUAGAGCUAAAAAAUAAUAAUAAAAUGGAAAUUGACGAUAUUUCAAAUUUUUUGGUUGACAAAAUAAAAGAAAAUAAAUAUUUACUAGAAAAAAGUCAGUUACCAAGCAUAAAAAGUAAAAAAAACAAGCAAUAGAAAUAUGUGUGAAAGAAAUUUGGCAAAAAUUUGGAAUGGAACUGUCGGAGAAAAACAUUAUAAAAAAAAUAGCACACAUGAAAUGUCGGGUUAAAAGUAAAAUAGACAUAAAUAAAACAGGCAAUAAAAAGAUUAUUUUAAAAAACUGGGAAGCAGAAUUAUCCUCAUUGCUUUGUUCUGAUUCUAAUCCCUCAACAAACAAACUUCCUGUUCAUCUCUUUCUUGGAACCAAUGGCGACAACUGUACGCUGUCUGUCAAUACAUUAGAAGAGACAUCAGCAACAACAACAUCAGAAACAAAAACAACAGUAACAUCAGCAGCAAAACAGCAAAGAAAGCGCCGUUGCACUGAUAGCGACGAUCAAACUGUUUACAAAAAGUCAACAGCAAUUUUGAGUCGUUAUGAGACUGAUGAGACAAGGGAGUUAAAUUUUCAAAAGCUGCAGAGGCUUGUUUUGUUAAAGCAAAACAAAGUUCUUUCCGCAAAAUUACAGAUUUUGCAAGAAAAACUUGUGGAAAGAGGGUUGGAGUUCCAUGAAUGAUUACAAUUACUAAU